rnacentral:rRNA from 1 species
UUGCACGCUGGCGGCAGGCCUAACACAUGCCAGUCGAGCGGAUGAAGGGAGCUUGCUCCUGGAUUCAGCGGCGGACGGGUGAGUAAUGCCUAGGAAUCUGCCUGGUAGUGGGGGAUAACGUCCGGAAACGGGCGCUAAUACCGCAUACGUCCUGAGGGAGAAAGUGGGGGAUCUUCGGACCUCACGCUAUCAGAUGAGCCUAGGUCGGAUUAGCUAGUUGGUGGGGUAAAGGCCUACCAAGGCGACGAUCCGUAACUGGUCUGAGAGGAUGAUCAGUCACACUGGAACUGAGACACGGUCCAGACUCCUACGGGAGGCAGCAGUGGGGAAUAUUGGACAAAGGGCGAAAGCCUGAUCCAGCCAUGCCGCGUGUGUGAAGAAGGUCUUCGGAUUGUAAAGCACUUUAAGUUGGGAGGAAGGGCAGUAAGUUAAUACCUUGCUGUUUUGACGUUACCAACAGAAUAAGCACCGGCUAACUUCGUG